GGAUGCGCUUGUUGAACUGUGAGUUCAUCGUGGCCAGCUGCCGCUCCAGCUCCCAGCCGGGGCCUGGGGAGUCAGUGCCCCGUACUGGAGACCCCCGGCCUGCGGGGUCCCAGCCCAGCUGCUCGGUGCAGAGUGGACCCUGGCCCCCUAAGUCGAGACCUUGGGGUGCAGGGUACACCUGCAUGGCUCACGUGUGGGCCUGUGGGCUGGGGAUGUGGGGGAUACGCUUCCUCACGGGGCACCCCAGGCCCCGGGAGUAGCAGUGAGUGUCUGGGUGCGCCCUGGGCCUUCCCCCAGAGCCGGGAGCCCUGGGUCCCUGGGCCUGGGUCUGGGAGACCAGCCAUUCCCAGGGGUCUUCUGAGCUGGAGGGGACAGCCCCAGGGAGCCUGCCCGCUGCUGGUGCAGAGUCCCCAGCCCGGGCCUGGAAGGCCUCCGCCCCGCGGGGCCCCAGGGUGCCUUGCCUGUGUGAGCUGCCCCGGCCCUGGCCUCACCUACAGCAUCGGUCCACCUGUCCGUGGCCACCGGCCAGCCUCCCACUGCCUCCAAGACGUCCAGCAGCGGCUGAGAGUCUCGCUUCUCUAUGACGCCUGGGCGAGGAAGGAGUGAGCGGUCACUCGCCCGGACACCGCAAGGAGCUGGCGGGAAGCUUGGGACAACGUGGCCCGGAGACAAGGGUGUCGAAGAUGCUGUACCGGGAGUUGGUCUCCGGGACGACCUGGCGCCGCAGCCAACCCCCGCAGGCGUACUGGUAGAAGUCCUCACAGGGUGCCUUGGACGGGUCCAUGUUCUGGAGGAUCCUGGCAGCUGCUCGUCCCCGGGGUGGAGAGGAAGAGGGGAGACCAGCUGUGGGCCCCCGGUCCGAGGGGCACCCUCUCCGAGCCUCAGGGGGGUUGGACGCAGGGGGUUCGACUUCCAGAGCCACCUCACAGCACCCACAUGGUCUUGACCCCCCUCGAUGGCUCCCAUCCCUCCGUUCCCUCCUCUUUCAUUUUGGGGAGCCCGCAUCCCAGGCAGAGCCCACUUCCUCCGCCCACCCCACCUCGGAGGCAGGGCCCGCCAUCUGUCCCAAUGGUGGUCUCCCUCCAGGGCUGUGCCCCUGGGCCUGCAGCCGGGCCAGAGUCACGGUCACUGGCAGCCGCAGGGCAGGGCGGGGCAGGGCUGAGGAAGGGCGCUCACCUGCUAUCACACAGCCGGGGCUGGUGCAGAUCUGGUCAUCCUGGGACACUUUGAUGGCUGGGGACAAGGAGCAGUGUGAGCCCUGGGGAGGCAGCGAGCAGGUGGGGUGCAGGCAGGGAGCCCGUAGGGUGGGGCGCUGUGUAGGGAGGGGGCCCGGCCUCCACACCACCUCCGGUCCCCGAGAAUGGUCCGGCAGGGCACCCUGAGGACAAGUCCAGAGGGCAGCUGCCCGUCCUCCCUGGGUGGCUCGGGCCUGUGGCCUUGAGUGGGGGACGGUCUCCUUCUGGUGGACUCCCCACAGCUGCCCAGGCCCCAGGGCUGAAGCAGGUCAUGAUGCCUUCCUGCCUGUCUGCCCGGUCAGCUCUCCCCUGUCAGGGGUCAACUCCUCCAGGCAGCCUGCCUGGGCUGCCCGUCCUGCACACCUGGACCCCAAGAUCCGACUCCCCUUUCCCCGUCCAGGUGGUUAUAUCACCAUGUCCCUGCUGGCCCUCAGGGGCAGCUUGGGGACAGCUGACUCAUGCUGGUCCCAGCACUGGGGGAGCAUCCUGCCUCCUGCCACUGUCCUCCGUGUUCACGGGACUCUAGGCCCUCCCACUGCCCACACACCCUGGGCCUGUAGUGGACACGGCCGGGCCGUGGGCUCCCCACCCAUCUGCCCAGGCGUGUCUGGGGGGGGGCGAGACUACCUCGGGGUUCUCGAGCUGCGGGGGUCUUCUCUUCCUGGGAGAAGCGCAGCCGGCUGAGAAGGAGCGGCAGCUGCUGCCCUGGGGAGAAACACAGCGCUCGCCCCGUCCCCCGGCCUCCUGCUCCCAGGCUGCCCGGGGAACGGACGCUCGGGAAGGUGCUGCCC